AUCCCUUCUUGCAACUGCUGAGCAAAAAUAAAUACGGCAUCAGAUAUGACAUAAAAUUUGAUAUAAUAUUAAAAUAAAUAGGUAAAUUUUUGUUUUAAAGUCAAAAUGUCUAGGACGUCCAUCCCGGCGAGCUCCUGAUGCUUCGCCCCACAACUCCCUCCUAGGUCUCCCCAGGUUCUAACUGCUGUGUCAUAAUCGACUUCUCAAGCUAGGAAACGUCUACUCAAAGAUUCUUCUUAGGUUUACCUAGCCUUGCCUGCAGCGCUGUUCCCAACCUCAAUGUCCUGAUGGCGAGAGUCCUUUCUAUCUUCUUCAGUGAAAUUAAGAAUGACAAAUUAAACGUAAGACGCCCACAACUUUAAAUAGAAUGGGAGGAGCAAAUCCAACUUUCAUCCCUACAUCUUUUCCUACAAGACUAUUGUCCUCUAAAUGUUAUUUUGGAAGAGAAGGAAUUUUAAGAAAUGCUCUUCAGUUCCUGCAGAACCUGCAUAAAACUCAGAGGGACCUGUUGCACCUUCUCUGGGAGGCUCUUCCAGUUCCUGUCACUGAUCCAGCGCAUCCCUACCAGCCGGGUGACAAAAAGUAAUUCUCUACAACUGGUCUCAAACCUUGGUGAAUAGGACCUUAUACUAUAGUCCUCACUACACCCAAAGCUGUGGGUCCAUCCUCUCCUGGAUCCGGUACAGCAGAUUAAAACCUGCAGUCACUACAGAGUGGAAGAGAGAGAUCUUGAAGGACUCAUUGAAACUAAGACUGGCU
rnacentral:lncRNA from 1 species